rnacentral:lncRNA from 1 species
CAGGAAUGCUGGGAAACGAGGAGAAAGACUGCUUUUCACAGCAUCACAGAAGGGAGUGAUCUUGGGGACACCAGAACAGUCUGCUUGCAGAGAUUAGGAACAGGACAGCUUCUUCCAGUCAAACAGCGAGACUAAAAAUGAGUCUAAGGCUCCAGCCUCUCCAAAUUCCUCCUGGCCCACGCAUGAACAUGGUCUCUGUGGCCAUCGAUUCUUCUGAGCCCACCUCCUCCACGUGAGUACACACGCUUGUCUACUUAUGGUCUGGCCAGCACACCACCCAUCUAGACCCUAAAUAAGGUGGACCCCAGCUGGCUCUCUGGUGACCAGCUCCAAAAUGCCUUCCUUUGGACUUCACGAUCUGUGAGAGAAGGCAAACCCUGACAUCUGGUUUCAUCCAAACCAUGUGACUUAUUUAGGACUCCUGACUUUCCUAAUGUUGCAUGGAGGAUAUUUAAUCAUAAAACAGUUAAAUCUGGCAUAGUGCGCUACCAAGAAGAAGGCAGGGUUCCGCUUACCAUACUGAGAGAGGGGUUGAGGCAGAAACUCCCUGGAACUAUGGGCAGCAACAAAGGAGGGAGGGCAGGUCACCUGUGCAGAAGUGUUGACUCUGUCUUGAGCUUACACAAAGCCAUGGUCUGGUUCAGUACUUACUUGUUUAUUGAUAUUCCAUUUAGCAUUUACCAAGUACCUUCUAUGUAACUUGGCUAGGCAGUCUUUUUUUCUCAAAGAAACAAAAUCCAGUACAAAUCCUCCCUCAUCCAUGAAAUCUUUCUGGAUUCUCCAAUGGGAUUGAACUAAUCCUCAUAGAACUUUCCAUGUGCCCCUGCUUGUCACGAAUUUCAUUUACCUUCAGAGUAAAAUUGUUGCACACACUUCUGUUUCCUUAAGUGGCUGUGGGAGCUGACAUUCUAGGCCCCAGUGAAGAGGUCUGAUCCUGAAACUGCGUCUCAGUUCUUGGCUUGAGAAAAACACAGCUGGUUAGAAGUGCUUACACCACGGAGGCGUGAAGAAGACGUGAGGGUGACUCAUUUUAAAAGCAAUGUGUUUAUCUUAUCUUCCAGUGCAGAGAGAGAGAAUCCCCUGCUUAGAGCACAGAAGCUGGUGCACCAUCCUGUGCCGCAUUGUCCUCUGGCUGCCUGCCUGGGGAGACCCCUCUCCCCUCUCCUUCCUGAACGCAGGCACGAGGAUUUGUAUAUACGUGCACAUAAAUAUGGUAUUUCCCAGAGGGCCUGGCGUAAACAUUCUUAAUAUGUGCUUGUUAUAUUGCAGUGAACUAACACCCACAGUCAGUCAGGAAACAAAGUGCAUUGCGUGUUACCUGGGGAACAGUCAGCAGA